AUGGGAGGCCGCUCCGUGGCGUCCCGGAUCGCACGGCGAGAUCUUCCUCCGCCGCAAGGCUCCACCGGCGACGACAACGGCAGGCGUAAAGCUUCCCCCGAAAAGCCACGGCCCCUGAUUCCUGUGUCUGCUAAAGGCCUAGCCGGAACGAGACAAGGCCAACGGGCUCACCGCCGUACGUACGCCGCAAUCAUUCGGCGACCGGCCAGCCAGCCAGCGAGGGAGCUAGUCCGAUCUUCUUCCGUCCGCUUCUGGUCGUCGACGGGGAAGAGGACGAACGAAUUAGGCCAGCGCUGUCGCGGCACGUUUGACGGAUUAGCUUUCUGA
rnacentral:rRNA from 1 species